GAUGAACGCUGGCGGCGUGCCUAAUACAUGCAAGUCGAGCGAACAGAUGAGGAGCUUGCUCCUCUGACGUUAGCGGCGGACGGGUGAGUAAAACGUGGACAACCUACCUAUAAGACUGGGAUAACUUCGGGAAACUGGCGCUAACACCGGACAAUUUAUUGAAUCGCAUGGCUCAAUAGUGAAAGACGGUUUUGCUGUCUAUUAUAGAUGGAACUGGUUCGCAUUAGCUAGUUGGUAAGGUAACGGCUUACCAAGGCAACGAUGCGUAGCCGACCCGAGAGGGUUAACGUCCACACUGUAACAGAGACACGGUCGAGACUCCUGCAGUGGGCAACAGUAGAGAAUCUUCCGCGAGGCGCGAGUGCGUAACGGUGCAACGCGGCGUAAGGGAUGAUGGUCUAAGGAUCGGAGAACUCUGAUAUUAGUGAAGUACUAAUGUGUAAUUAACUAUGCACAUCAUGACGGUACCUAAUCAGAAAGCCACGGCUAACUACGUG
rnacentral:rRNA from 1 species